UUAAGUUAAUAAGGGCGCACGGUGGAUGCCUUGGCACUAGAAGCCGAUGAAGGACGUGACUAACGACGAAAUGCUUUGGGGAGCUGUAAGUGAGCAAUGAUCCAGAGAUGUCCGAAUGGGGGAACCCGGCAGGUAAUGCCUGUCACUCAUUACUGUUAAGGUAAUGUAGAGGAAGACGCAGUGAACUGAAACAUCUAAGUAGCUGCAGGAAGAGAAAGCAAAAGCGAUUGCCUUAGUAGCGGCGAGCGAAACGGCAAGAGGGCAAACCGAAGAGUUUACUCUUCGGGGUUGUAGGACUGCAACGUGGACUUAAAGAUUAUAGAAGAACUACCUGGGAAGGUAGGCCAAAGAGAGUAAUAGCCUCGUAUUCGAAAUAGUCUUUAUACCUAGCAGUAUCCUGAGUACGGCGAGACACGAGAAAUCUCGUCGGAAUCUGGGAGGACCAUCUCCCAACCCUAAAUACUCUCUAGUGACCGAUAGUGAACCAGUACCGUGAGGGAAAGGUGAAAAGCACCCCGGGAGGGGAGUGAAAUAGAACCUGAAACCGUGUGCCUACAACAAGUUCGAGCCCGUUAAUGGGUGAGAGCGUGCCUUUUGUAGAAUGAACCGGCGAGUUACGAUAUGAUGCGAGGUUAAGUUGAAGAGACGGAGCCGUAGGGAAACCGAGUCUUAAUAGGGCGCAUUAGUAUCAUGUCGUAGACCCGAAACCAUGUGACCUACCCAUGAGCAGGUUGAAGGUGAGGUAAAACUCACUGGAGGACCGAACCAGGGCACGUUGAAAAGUGCUUGGAUGACUUGUGGGUAGCGGAGAAAUUCCAAACGAACUUGGAGAUAGCUGGUUCUCUCCGAAAUAGCUUUAGGGCUAGCGUCGAUGUUAAGUCUCUUGGAGGUAGAGCACUGUUUGGGUGAGGGGUCCAUCCCGGAUUACCAAUCUCAGAUAAACUCCGAAUGCCAACGAGAUAUAAUCGGCAGUCAGACUGCGAGUGCUAAGAUCCGUAGUCGAAAGGGAAACAGCCCAGACCACCAGCUAAGGUCCCAAAAUAAUUGUUAAGUGGAAAAGGAUGUGGGGUUGCACAGACAACUAGGAUGUUAGCUUAGAAGCAGCUAUUCAUUCAAAGAGUGCGUAAUAGCUCACUAGUCGAGUGACCCUGCGCCGAAAAUGUACCGGGGCUAAAACAAUUUACCGAAGCUGUGGAUACCUUUAUAGGUAUGGUAGGAGAGCGUUCUAUGUGUGGAGAAGGUGUACCGUGAGGAGCGCUGGAACGCAUAGAAGUGAGAAUGCCGGUAUGAGUAGCGAAAGACAGGUGAGAAUCCUGUCCACCGUAAGACUAAGGUUUCCAGGGGAAGGCUCGUCCGCCCUGGGUUAGUCGGGACCUAAGGAGAGACCGAAAGGUGUAUCCGAUGGACAACAGGUUGAUAUUCCUGUACUAGAGUAUAUAGUGAUGGAGGGACGCAGUAGGCUAACUAAACCAGACGAUUGGAAGUGUCUGGCCAAGCAGUGAGGUGUGAUAUGAGUCAAAUGCUUAUAUCUAUAACAUUGAGCUGUGAUGGGGAGCGAAGUUUAGUAGCGAAGUUAGUGAUGUCACACUGCCGAGAAAAGCUUCUAGCGUUAAUUAUACUCUACCCGUACCGCAAACCGACACAGGUAGUCGAGGCGAGUAGCCUCAGGUGAGCGAGAGAACUCUCGUUAAGGAACUCGGCAAAAUGGCCCCGUAACUUCGGGAGAAGGGGCGCUGACUUAUGGUCAGCCGCAGUGAAUAGGCCCAAGCAACUGUUUAUCAAAAACACAGCUCUCUGCUAAAUCGUAAGAUGAUGUAUAGGGGGUGACGCCUGCCCGGUGCUGGAAGGUUAAGAGGAGUGCUUAGCAAUAGCGAAGGUAUGAAUUGAAGCCCCAGUAAACGGCGGCCGUAACUAUAACGGUCCUAAGGUAGCGAAAUUCCUUGUCGGGUAAGUUCC
rnacentral:rRNA from 1 species